CUGGUCUCUCUUAGUGGUCAUUUGUUUGAUCAAUUCUUAAUUAAUGAGGCUCUGGAUAUUAUUGAAGCUGCUGGUGGAUCUUUUCGCGUAGCAAAAUGUGAAGUUGGUCAAAGUACCAAUGACAUGUCCUACUCGGAACUUGAAGUUAGUGCUGAUGACUGUGCCAUCUUAAAUCAAAUAAUUGAUUCUCUGAGUUCUAUCUCUAAUUUAAAUAACACAGAUAUAGUUUUCAACAUGGAAAAAGAGAUAUCGUUGAGAAUUGACAGAGAUAGCAAUAGUGUUGCAGACACAAAUGGUGUCAGUAAGAGAAAGCGAG
rnacentral:misc_RNA from 1 species